AGGAGAGAGGAUAAUCAAGAGAGUUCAAGAAUGACAGGUACAGACAAAGCGGAUAGCCGUGGAAGACCAAAGAAAAGAUGCAUGGACUAUGUGCACGAAGACACGAAAAACGUAGAUACCAUUCCACAGGAUGCGACGGAUUAACUAGUGUGAAGGAAACCAGAUGCGAAAAUAGGCGCCCGUAUAGAUGGAAAAUAAUAAAUUCGGAAAUUUCGCCCCACCAGAGCAAAUAAUACACGAUAUACCUAAUAAAACGGCGCCACUGCGCGGUAUCGCUUGAAUUAAUAUUUUUUAUUUUACGGAAGUCGUUCAAAAUUGUGUUGAAACCGAUACGCUUUAGUUCAAUUUACGCGACGACGCGACGG